UCUGUUUCAAAUAUAUUGAAACUUAUCUGGCAGUUAUAGAGAAUGCUGGUUACUACAUUUAGAAACUGCUCAGGUUUAAAACAUCACAAACAAAUAAAACCACAGGUAAAAACAAAGAUCUGGUUUAAGAAAUAACCCAAAAAGAACAGCUAAACCUUUGGAAAUACUUCUCAUACUAAUGAACUACCAUGAAUGCUUAUAAUAGAUUACACCUGUAGGGAAUUUUAGGUUGAAUUUUGACUACAAAGUACAAAAAACAAAAACACAACCAAAGUGCAUUCAAAAAGUAUUCACACACCUGCAUGUUUUUGUAUAUUGUGUUAAGAGUUUAAUCACAAAUUUCAGGUUAUGUUAUUGAGGUUUUUGGUGGUAGACCAACAGAAAUAUUUGUGAAAUGGAAAGAAAAUGAUUCAUGGUUUUCAAAAUACUUUACAAAUAAAAUUCAACAAAGCACGGCAUGCAUUAUACUGAAAUAUGUGGUGGUUUUAUGACAUAUAUGCAAAUGUUUAAGGGGUCUGAAUUCUUUAACAAAGCUCUGUUGCAGUAGAAAAGUAUUUGCCCCCUGCAGAUUUUGUCUUUUUUUUUUUUUUUUACAUUUACAUGUAUAUGUAAGUGUGAAUCAAACAAAUGUUAAUAAUAAGUAAAUAUAAAAAGUAGCUUUCAAGGGAUUAUUUUAUUUAUUAGUAGAAAAUACACAAUCCAAACCAACCCUGUGCUAUGUGAAAAUAUGCUUGCCCCACACGUUAAAUCAUGAAUGAACUCUGAUUAAAUACGUGUUUGGUUCAGUUUCAUAACCUAGACCUGGUUACUGCUAGACCGGUUAAAUCAAGAAAUUGCUCUUUGUCCAAAAGUGCCCUUUUGGUCAAAAUAUUUAUUUAUUUAUUUCCAUAAUUUCUACUGUGAUACCUAAUGAAAAAAUGUAUUAAUAAUGCUAUUUUAUAUGUUAGUUCGUAAGAGAGAUGACAUGACAACGCCCCCCAGUCACCCCUUUACCUUUAACCUUUAGCCCCUGUGAUGCAAGCAGUAACUGCCCCUCGCGCAGUGAGAAAGACUAGCAGAGCCCAGAAUACGUCGCUCUCACCCAGAUUCCAGGACAGUUGUUGGUCAAUAAACCGAGGAGCAGUCUGAGCAGAGAGGGGGUGAAACACAACACACAUGCAGGGGGAGAAAGAAGAAAGCUCUGGCUCUCUGUGGGGAGGAAACAGAAGGAAAGUUAUGGAUCAGACGAGAUGGAGACAGACAUAACAAGAGACACUGAGCUACUGUCAACACAGGGAAGAUGAGACAAUAAGGACAAAGAGAGUAUAGACAAAGAAAAAAACCGGGAAAGAAGAACAUGUUCAUAAAAUAGGCCUUGCUUAGAAACUCACCUGGCAUGCAGGAGUGUCUCUGCAUGUGGCCCAAAAUUAGGGCAUUUGUAUAAUUUGAUGAUGCAUUUUUUUCUUAAGAACCCAUUCAACAAGGCUAUAGUUCUU